rnacentral:rRNA from 1 species
UACGAAGGGGGGCUAGCGUUGUUCGGAAUUACUGGGCGUAAAGCGCACGUAGGCGGAUAUUUAAGUCAGGGGUGAAAUCCCGGGGCUCAACCCCGGAACUGCCUUUGAUACUGGGUAUCUCGAGUCCGAGAGAGGUGAGUGGAAUUCCGAGUGUAGAGGUGAAAUUCGUAGAUAUUCGGAAGAACACCAGUGGCGAAGGCGACUCACUGGACAUGUAUUGACGCUGAGGUGCGAAAGCGUGGGGAGCAAACAGG